UUGGUGCCUAAUAAAGAAGACACUGAAAGCCACUCGGCGCACAGACAAAGGCAAUGUGACUGCUUCAAAUGGGCUCCACGAACUCCUUGGGCACACCACAAGGCCUGACAGGAACUGAACCUCGGAAAACACGGCGCAGAAGAAAAUUAAGUUAUUCAGUGAACAUUUUCAAAUCUACACAAGUAUAUCAUUUAUGCACCAUCCUGGCAGAAGUCGGAUCUGGAGGUGCAGAAAAUAUGCCACAGAAUUAUACAGCAUAUUGGAAAAUUCACUUGUACCAUUAAAUGCCAACUAGUAACACCAAGCAGCAAACAGGAAAGAUACCACCUGCAUCAUCAGGAGAUGCACAUUUGCAUUUUUGAGUUCUAUUCCCUAUUCUUCAGGCAUAUGAACUAACAUUCAAGAUACAUUUUGGAAUAAAGAUGGAAGAAUUUGAUUGUAGUGGCUCCAAAAAGCAAAAGCAUGGAGACAUCUGUUUUUCAGCCACCAAGCUGUGACCACAUUUGGUUAAAAUACACGUACAAUUGUCAUCUCCUUUCCUGCCUAUCUGAAAGUGUAAGUAAUGAAUUUUUUAGGAAGAUAAAACCACAAUCCCAAGAAAGGAUUUUCCCCAGAAUGAUGAAAAAACACCCUUUGGAUUUUUAUUUCUACUUGUCUUCAGUUCACUAACAGGACAUGAUCAAUCUGACAGAUAAGAAAGAGGGAGCACAAGCACAAAAAAAUACCAGUAACAGUGUUCAUAAAGCUACCUUCUCAAAUUUCUUUAAUACAGUAUCCAAAUUCAGUGGUUUUCCUAAUACUUCCCAUUUAGAAUAGCUUCCUCUGCUAAAAGGCAGUCAUUCUGCUAUACAAAAGAACCAGUAUUAUGCAUUUUCUCCCUUAAACCGCACCUGCACAAAUACUUGUGCCUACUGAAACACCUGUAAGGCUACUGCUUAGUCUGGUAAUAAAAUACACAGAAUGAAAAGUUAAACAUGAACAUGUAUGUAAUGGAUCCUUCUCCACCUCCAAAAAGUAAAAAGAAAAAGAAAGGGAGGCUUGAUAUGGUUUCCAUCACAUCAUAAAUCUGAACUACACAGUCUCUAACUGUAUCUAAUAUCACUACAUGUCUUGACAUCAAUCUGAAACAAGAAAAGGGAGACUGCAUGUGCUCUAGAGGAUUAGAGACUUCAGAAAAAUAAGUAGUAUUCUCAAUAGUUAUUGAGGCAAAGAUGUAACACCUAGAACCUAGUCUGAGUUUUAAAGUCUAUGAAGAAGUACACAGUCCUUAACACAAACUUUCCCCAAUAAAAGCAAUUCUCUCUAUAACUACCUUUUUUUUUUUUCCCUACAAGAAAACAUGAAAUGAGGAGUUUUCUUUCACUAAGGCUCAUAGAUUUGGCAAAAGAGGAGAAACAACCCACCUAACUAGUAAAGUCAGCGAGGGAGUUCAUAUAGUAACAACCUUAGGUAUGACUUGACCUUCCAACAGCUAGCCACACUGCAAUGAUAAAACAGAGACUACAAACUCCCAUUUCUGCUGCAGCUUUUUAUUUCAAAUGGAAUUAAUACAACAUCUACAAAACUUAAUGUAUUGGUUUUCUCACAGAAAACAGACCUAUAAUUCCCAAGCAAACAACAUCCUGAAAAUGUGUUCAGCUGUCUGACCUCUGCUUUAGAGACUGCCCCAGAAAUUACACCCAGGGGUAUGGCGAGCAGGUAGACCAGACUUUCGUAAUGUAUUUGCAAUAAUUUGCCUCAGAUGAGGUCCAUAAUGACACAAUCACCUCCUUCACUCCCAAAAGUGUGUAACAAUGAUAAAGAGAUAUCAGUAAAUCUCAUCACAAGGAUAUGAAAAUUAUUCAGCAUCAAUAUAUGUAUGUGUCCUGGAAAAUUUCCACAAAUGGUCAUUUGCCAAGAAUAUAAAAGUACAUUUUUGGCUCUCACCAUCUUGGCUGCUGUAUAUUUAUGGUCAGAAGCCAGUUCAUUCAUUCAUUAAAAUACUACACCUGUAAUAGUUGAAACGUUUUACUACAUUGUAAUAUUAACAUUUGAAAACUGAAUUUUAAAAAGGGUUAGUAAAAUUUUCUUACAAACCCUAAAGUAAUCUCAAUCUGUUAACCCAUAAAAUCUGUUUAACUAAGAAAACCUUUAAAAGAAAAGAAUAUAAAGUUUUCUUUUGGAUGGCUCCAUAUGAAGGUUUCACUUGAAAAGGCAUCCAGUGAAAGACAACUGCAAAAAGCACACAGAUACCCAAAUACAUAAGGCAAAAGCUUGGCACUACUUCAGAGGAGCUGUCCCUCAGGCCCAACAUUUUACUUAGGAGAUGACUGUGUGCAGCAGGGAUCCGUAUCAAUGAAAUGUCAGCCAUUUCAUUAGAUGGUGCUGUCUGGCAUGUGCGAGGGCAGGCAUGCGGGGAGAGCAAGAAAAAGCACUGUGCAAGAACUGCCUGAAGCCGUAUCUGUUUUGAGAAACUACUGCUAGAAAUACUCAAGCUCUGGCCUUUCUUCUGGAGCUUGGUAGCAGCUUUGUUUGUGUUGCGUCCAUCUGCAACCCAGGAAGCAGAGCAGGAGGGAGGAGGCCCAGGGUCCAGGCCAAGAAGAUGUUGGAGCUGUCUCCCACUGUCAUUUCACUCAGCACAAAUGGCUGUGUGAAGACAAGGAAUGGUCUUCCCCAGGUUCGAGGGGAAAUGUAUUUUAAUGCAUGAAUGAAUUCAGUCAUCUGUACUUAGUUACUCAGUUUGCACGUUUCUGUUGUUUAAAUCGGUUGAUCUCCCCAAAAACAGUGAAGUUUUUGAAACUGCAUUGGACUACACUCUUUUCCUAGAGAUUUCUUGUUCCUUAGGAAAUACAUUAUUACCGCAACACAUUGGAUCAGUGCUUCUACAGCAGUGUAUGAACACUAAGUACUGUCACCACCCUUCUUUAUGACUACUCUUGCUGUGCUUUCACCCACAAUACCACUUCCCCUCCCUUUUACCCUAAAAAAAUAACAAAUCUUAUGCCACAGGGUAGCAUAACUUCUUCAUGUCUUCAACAGUUUAAACUGGUGAUAGAGUGCACUCUCUCAGUUUUCCUCAAAACAAACGUAUCUGCUGUAAUUCUCUUGAUCAGCGUCAGACCUUGAUCAACAAGAGACCUUGCAAUUUCUCACUGAACUUCCUCUUUUAAUAAAAUUAAAGAGCAGAAAACAGAUGCCAGCAUGCUGUUCAAUCCCCCCUUGUCUGAAAAAGGUCUCUCAAAGUCUGCAGCAAGUUGCAGAAUUGCAGCUUUCCCACCAACAGUUCCACUUCUCAACCACCAGCUUGAGUCCCCCUCAAGAAGAGCCCAAGCACACCCCAAAAACAUCCGAUACACACUUAACCUGCAAGCUGCUGGAAAUGACACAGUGACAGUGUCUCUCUAAGCAGCAGCAGAUGUUGAAACAGCAGCAGCAGAUACCAUGUGAGCUAGCUUCUGCCAGGACCUGGAGCAUGCUGUUUCCUACCUGAAUAUAUGACAUACAAACAAGUCACAGAACAAGGUCAAGCAAGCUGAAAAACCUCAUUAAAUUUCAUUGAUGUCGCUAUGACCCAGUACUUCAGACGCUGUAACUGCUUCAUGUCACUAUUGUAUUAACAGAGGAAAAAAAAAGACUGGAAUAUCACACUGCCUAGAGUAAGCAGGUGAACCUGAAACAGGAAGUUUUAGCAAGAAAAAAAAAAGGUAUUUCUGUAUAAACACAUAAUUAUAAGAAGGAGAUAAAAGUAAUUCUGGGGAGCAGGCAAAAUUACAUCUUCACUGGCGGCAGAUGUGCUGGAUUAGGAACUACAUGGGAAGUCUGCACACACACUCACAUGGCAGGCACAUUCAAUAAAAACACCUAACUCUUGACUAUCCUGAUUACAGUUGCAUUUGGCACCGGUGAAGGGGAAACCUGGCAGAGAACGCAGUCUAACUACUAUUUCUAGCCUUUGUUAAUUUGGUUGUCUGGGUGCAUAAUUAUCCUACAUACACACUCACAAUUUGUACAGUUAGUUAUACAGCUCUGCUAUUUAAUAAUAUUAUGUUCAAAUUUGAUAUGCCCCUGAGAUGGACAUAAGUCACUUGACAAUUCCAUAGAUUUUAAUCUCAACCUAAAACACUGUUUGACUUCACAGCCAGCAAGGGAAUAAAACUCACUAAGGAUUACAAAACCAGUAAGAUGGCACAAGGUGGCAAACUAAAACCCACAACUGCACUUCCAAAACAGACAGACCUUUAUUAGUGAGUGCGAUCCUGUAUCUCCUAGAAAUC